rnacentral:rRNA from 1 species
UACGAAGGGGGCUAGCGUUGCUCGGAAUCACUGGGCGUAAAGCGCACGUAGGCGGAUCUUUAAGUCAGGGGUGAAAUCCUGGAGCUCAACUCCAGAACUGCCUUUGAUACUGGGGAUCUCGAGUCCGGGAGAGGUGAGUGGAACUCCGAGUGUAGAGGUGAAAUUCGUAGAUAUUCGGAAGAACACCAGUGGCGAAGGCGGCUCACUGGCCCGGUACUGACGCUGAGGUGCGAAAGCGUGGGGAGCAAACAGG